rnacentral:rRNA from 1 species
AAAUCAACCGAGAUUCCCCCAGUAGCGGCGAGCGAACGGGGAGCAGCCCAGAGCCUGAAUCAGUAUGUGUGUUAGUGGAAGCGUCUGGAAAGGCGCGCGAUACAGGGUGACAGCCCCGUACACAAAAAUGCACAUGCUGUGAGCUCGAUGAGUAGGGCGGGACACGUGGUAUCCUGUCUGAAUAUGGGGGGACCAUCCUCCAAGGCUAAAUACUCCUGACUGACCGAUAGUGAACCAGUACCGUGAGGGAAAGGCGAAAAGAACCCCGGCGAGGGGAGUGAAAAAGAACCUGAAACCGUGUACGUACAAGCAGUGGGAGCACGCUUAGGCGUGUGACUGCGUACCUUUUGUAUAAUGGGUCAGCGACUUAUAUUCUGUAGCAAGGUUAACCGAAUAGGGGAGCCGAAGGGAAACCGAGUCUUAACUGGGCGUUAAGUUGCAGGGUAUAGACCCGAAACCCGGUGAUCUAGCCAUGGGCAGGUUGAAGGUUGGGUAACACUAACUGGAGGACCGAACCGACUAAUGUUGAAAAAUUAGCGGAUGACUUGUGGCUGGGGGUGAAAGGCCAAUCAAACCGGGAGAUAGCUGGUUCUCCCCGAAAGCUAUUUAGGUAGCGCCUCGUGAAUUCAUCUCCGGGGGUAGAGCACUGUUUCGGCAAGGGGGUCAUCCCGACUUACCAACCCGAUGCAAACUGCGAAUACCGGAGAAUGUUAUCACGGGAGACACACGGCGGGUGCUAACGUCCGUCGUGAAGAGGGAAACAACCCAGACCGCCAGCUAAGGUCCCAAAGUCAUGGUUAAGUGGGAAACGAUGUGGGAAGGCCCAGACAGCCAGGAUGUUGGCUUAGAAGCAGCCAUCAUUUAAAGAAAGCGUAAUAGCUCACUGGUCGAGUCGGCCUGCGCGGAAGAUGUAACGGGGCUAAACCAUGCACCGAAGCUGCGGCAGCGACGCUGAUGCGUUGUUGGGUAGGGGAGCGUUCUGUAAGCCUGCGAAGGUGUGCUGUGAGGCAUGCUGGAGGUAUCAGAAGUGCGAAUGCUGACAUAAGUAACGAUAAAGCGGGUGAAAAGCCCGCUCGCCGGAAGACCAAGGGUUCCUGUCCAACGUUAAUCGGGGCAGGGUGAGUCGACCCCUAAGGCGAGGCCGAAAGGCGUAGUCGAUGGGAAACAGGUUAAUAUUCCUGUACUUGGUGUUACUGCGAAGGGGGGACGGAGAAGGCUAUGUUGGCCGGGCGACGGUUGUCCCGGUUUAAGCGUGUAGGCUGGUUUUCCAGGCAAAUCCGGAAAAUCAAGGCUGAGGCGUGAUGACGAGGCACU